rnacentral:misc_RNA from 1 species
GGGGUCCUAGCCCCCGUACCUCCCACCCUCCUCCGCAUCCACCAAACGGGAAGACCAGUCGCGGAGGUGGGUGGAACUCGGUGGCCCAGCAAUGCAACCCCCGGACCUCCGGGGCCGGUCCCAAGUCCGGAUCAAUGCAGAGGGAUGAGCCACUGCCUGAAGCCGAGGUGUCAGAAAUUUUCUAAGUGUUGAACUUUUUCUAAGUGUCAGCACGCAGGAGCUGGAAAUUUUCUAAGUGUUGAACUUUUUCUAAGUGUCAGCACGCAGGAGCUGAAAAUUUUCUAAGUGUUGAACUUUUUCUAAGUGUCAGCACGCAGGAGCUGGAAAUUUUCUAAGUGUUGAACUUUUUCUAAGUGUUGAACUUUUUCUAAGUGUCAGCACGCAGGAGCUGGAAAUUUUCUAAGUGUUACUUAGGAUUACCAGUGUGCGAAAAUAAUUUCUAAGUGUUGAACUUUUUCUAAGUGUCAGCACACAGAAGCUGGAAAUUUUCUAAGUGUUAAUUUGGAUUACCAGUGUGCGAAAAUAUUUUUCUAAGUGUUACUUAGGAUGACCAGACGUACGAAAUUGGAUUUGGAUGACCAGGCUGCUGGAGGUCCAGCCGGCGUGGACUAGGGUCUUUAACCCAGGGGAGGGUGCUUAAUAGUGGGCCGCAG